AUGGGAUCUAGAAGACUGUGAGCUGUCCCAGGCUCUGCUGGUUGAAUUUGUGGUGCCUGAAUCUCCUUUUAAUUCUACUGGCUAGGUCAAAUAAAGUAUUUUUUUUCAACCAAAAUUGUAUUUAAUCUAGCUUCUUUAAAAUAUUUUCUUUAAGACAGGCCAAGUUGAUAUAAACACUUCAUUGUUUCAGCAACCAAGUUGAAAACUUGCUGCCUUAGUUUGCUAUUCUUGCUUCCUACUUCUCACUGCUGACCAGGUCACUUCUGCUUUUUUUUUUGUGUUGGCCCAUCUCUUGUAGUCUGCUGGGCCACUUGGGCAUGCCUCAGCUCUGGAAUUAAUGAAAGGAGUAAGCCAGACUUUCUAAUUGAUUUCCUGAGAUCCUGAAGAAAUGCUUACUACUAUUGCAAGAUAUUGUUCUCAGAUAUUCCGUAGACUUUCUACAUACAAAACAGAGAGAUCG
rnacentral:lncRNA from 1 species